AUUGAACGCUGGCGGCAUGCCUUACACAUGCAAGUCGAACGGCAGCACGGGAGCAAUCCUGGUGGCGAGUAGCGAACGGGUGAGUAAUAUAUCGGAACGUGCCCAGUCGUGGGGGAUAACGCAGCGAAAGCUGUGCUAAUACCGCAUACGAUCUAAGGAUGAAAGCGGGGGAUCGCAAGACCUCGCGCGAUUGGAGCGGCCGAUAUCAGAUUAGCUAGUUGGUGGGGUAAAGGCCCACCAAGGCGACGAUCUGUAGCUGGUCUGAGAGGACGACCAGCCACACUGGAACUGAGACACGGUCCAGACUCCUACGGGAGGCAGCAGUGGGGAAUUUUGGACAAUGGGCGCAAGCCUGAUCCAGCAAUGCCGCGUGCAGGAUGAAGGCCUUCGGGUCGUAAACUGCUUUUGUACGGAACGAAACGGCCCUUUCUAAUACAGGGGGCUAAUGACGGUACCGUAAGAAUAAGCACCGGCUAACUACGUGCCAGCCGCCGCCGUAAGAC
rnacentral:rRNA from 1 species